CUGGGCAGAGCUUGCUCUAGUGGUUGGCAGCCCUGUCCAUGGCAGGGGGGUUGAAACUAGAUGAUCUUUCAGGUCCUUUUCAACCCCGGCCAUUCUGUGAUUCUAUGGUUCUAUGGUUCUAUGAUUCUAUGAUCUAGUCCAACCCCCCUGCGAUGAAUAGGGACACCUGCAGCUACAUCAGGUUGCUCAGAGCCCAUCCAGCCUGACACUGAACGUCUCCAGGGACGAGGCAUCCACAACCUCUCUGGGCAAUCUGUUUCAGUGCCUCACUACCUUUAUUACAAAAACUUCUUUCUUAUAUCUGGUCUAAAUCUCCCUUCUUUUAGUUUGAAACCAAUUCCCCUUUUUCUAUCACAGCAGACCCUGCUAAAGAGUCUGUCCCCUUCUUUCUAAUAGACGCCCUUUAGAUACUGAAAGGCUGCUCUCAGCUCUCCCUGGAGCCUUCUCUUCUCCAGGAUGAACAGCCCAAGCUCUCUCAGCUUGUCCUCCUAGGAGAAGUGUUCCAUCCCUUGGAUCAUUUUUGUGGCCCUCCUCUGGACGCCUUCCAACAGGUCCAUGUCUCUCCUGUACUGAGGACUCCACAUCUGGACACAGUACACCAGGUUCAGAGUCACUUCACUGUCAAUUAGAGCAAAAGCAGUAUUUACACUGUACAUUAAAACACCUAUCAGUGUAUCUGAGAUCUCAGCUUGUCAGGUAUUCAUGAAACAAGUGGGGAAGAAAUAAAUGUUACCAUUAUUUUCUGUUAACUGCAUGUUGAAUGGCAUUGUGUGUUCCAGCACUUGUGAUCUCAUCUCUGCGUGAAGCCUCAUCCCAGGCCUCAUCCCUUGUAUGGAAGUGAUAGCUCGUUUUGGGGUGACGCAUCUGGACCUUGGGCAUGGUUAGUGGGCAUGGUGGGGAUGGGUUGAUACUAGGACUAGAUGAUCUUAGUGGUCUUUUCCAAUAUUUAUGUUUCUGCAAUUCACACGAGGCUAUUUUAACAUGCUAGUGGUGUACUACUCUGGAAAAGAUUGCUGAUCUUAACAUAAAAACUUUUUUGUUGACUUGCUUAAAAACCAAAUCUAAACCUUUGAAAUAUCAUCACUGUUACUGUGUUCACACUUUUGGCACAAAUACAGAGCUGAUUUUAGGGUAAAUUAUUUGAUAUUCCACAGAUGGAAAUUAGUGUUGUCACUCCAUAUUUUCAGCUGAAUGGACAGAAAUCUUCAAAGCUGCAGAAGCUACAUAAUGAUAUUUAAGAUGCCACUAUGCUUGGGGUGCACAGACUUGCUCUAGAACAACAAGAAAUCUUGCAAUGUUUAUUAAUCUGACCACAGCACCAUGUAAAAUUUCUUAUUUUGGUCUGAGCACAUCCAGACAUGAUACACCCUGGAUAAGUACAUUUUGAAAUACAAUUGUGAACAGAAAAUACUCAUCUGGAAGAAAAGCAUUAAAAAAAAACCAACAUAAUUCAAGUAAUUUUAACACAAUUAAAUACUGCAGCACCAGCCAUCAAGCUCUAGGGGUACAUUUUGGAGUUCUUUGGGUGCUCACUCUGAGUAAGCUGUAAUAUCGAAGUACGUCUGCAUAAGUCUCUUCCUUGGAGGUAAUCAUCUCAAAGGAUCUAAGUGCUUUUUUUCUUUUCUUUUCUUCUCUUUUCUUCUCUUUUCUUUCCUUUU
ensembl:lncRNA